UACGUAGGGUGCAAGCGUUUGUCCGGAAUUAUUGGGCGUAAAGAGCUCGUAGGCGGUCUGUCGCGUCGGCUGUGAAAACUCGGGGCUCAACCCCGAGCUUGCAGUCGAUACGGGCAGGCUAGAGUUCGGCAGGGGAGACUGGAAUUCCUGGUGUAGCGGUGAAAUGCGCAGAUAUCAGGAGGAACACCGGUGGCGAAGGCGGGUCUCUGGGCCGAUACUGACGUGAGGAGCGAAAGCGUGGGGAGCGAACAGG
rnacentral:rRNA from 1 species